ensembl:lncRNA
UAAAUUAAUGUUAAAACACAUUUUAAUUUAAGCUUUAUUUGAGUAAAGUUUUUCUCUUUUUUUCUUUACAUUUAAUUACAGUACAGUUUUUAUUUAACAUUUAGGUACAACACAUUUUAAUUCAUAAUUUUUUACGUUUUUUAUUUACCUGUAUCUAAGCACAGUGCAGUGUAAAUGUUCAAACUGUGUAUUUAAAAUAUUAAAGUGGCUGACAACCAUAAAUAUUCUUAUUAGGAAUAAAACAGGGCUGUAGUUGAAUAGUAAGGACUACUACGUGACUAUUUUAAUGUUGGUCAUUAUCGUGGUACUUGGUAUAAAAAGACUGAGAACCACUGAGUAACGUGAAAGUUUGUGAAAACAGUUAUGUACAUUGUGAGGAUUGUUUACAACAUAUUUACUUUCUCACUUCUCCUUUUUUACAUUUGAUGUUUUUCUCUGUUACUCCUUCCUUUCAUCUCUUCCGCCUCCUCUGUCCUUCUCCUCUUCUCUUUUACUGUCAGUUCUGGUUUGCCCAUCUUUGCGUAUACAUCACGCGGUUUUCUUUCUGAUGCUUCAGGAUGAACACAACAGGCAAGGCCAUCACUGAAGGCUACAAAGAAGUUACCACAACUACGUUUGACAAUGUGUCCUGCAGCAAAUCUAAUCUCGGAGCAGUCAAGAACCUACCUUCACAUAACACAACAUCUCGACCUGACUGGUUACUCUACACAGUUCCUGCGUCAGCCUUUCUGAUUGGGAUUGUUCUGUUCACGUACAUCUGCAAAACACAACAGCGCAGGAACAUGCCAACAAAGCAGAGGACAAACACAAUUGGACAUUUUGCCACGCACACCGAAAUUGGGCACACUGAGAGCGGUACUCAGAGGUGUAUGGAGAAUGCUGAAAACAACAAGAAGGAUGAGACGCAGUCAUAUGAGAAUGUAGAAGCAGCUAUCUACAACAAUCAAGACAAAGUCACAUACUAUGUUUCUGCAGAUGAAGAUUAUCUUAACCCGGAUGCAGUUGGGGAAGAGGAAGUGGCGAGGCCACAGGAACAUCACAACACCCUACAACUGCCUAGCAAUUUGACAGAUAUGGAUGGAGAGUCGUAUGAGAAUAUGGAGGAGUGUUUAUAUGCUCAACCUCGCAAACAGACACAGAAACUCCGACACGCCACUGAAGACGAAGACUACAUCAAUCCUGAUGAAGAUGGAAAACAAGGUCUCGCUCUGGACCACGCAGACACUGAGUCGUAUGAAAUGAUGUCCGGGCCAGACUGUCUGUACAACAACACAGGCUUUACAGCAGCCCAUGGCACCACGGAGGAUGAUUCAUAUGAGCUGAUGAAUGGAAUCCCAGUCUCGUUGCAGACAGAGAUGGAUGGAGGAAGGCCGUGUGAAUGA